GGCAAAUCUAACUAUUGUUCCUCUGUUACACUACUGCGCUUCACCUAUUAGGUGAUGGGAGCAGCUAUUGAAACUUUCAGUAUAUUUCCUAUGAAGAAUUAACCUACAUUUGCAGGGCUUUAUCUUACCAAUUUAACUCUAGAUAAAGCUGAAUUAUAAAAUGGAUUAAAGUGCUUUGUGAAAUGCAACAUGGGGUAAUGGAGAUGGAGCUUGCUUCAGAGCCAGAAAGAAUUGGAUUCAAGUUCCAACUCUGCCACAAAAUUGGCUCUGAGAUCUUUAGCAAAUCAGGGUUAUGCCGUUUGGAGCUGCCUCCACUAUCUAUCUGAAUACCUCCAAUUCAAAGCAGCAUAAGGGGAAAGGAAAGAGAAAUCUGUUUACUGUCUGUCAGCAUCGCCAUGCCAAGACCAUCACUCUCUUCUUACUAUUACGAGACAUCUUGUUUUCCAGAGCUUAAGGCCCAGCAAGCAAGCUGUGCCUUAAGCUUGGCAUGACAAUAAUCCUUUGUGCUUACCCUCUUAAUGAACUCUGCUGCAACUAAAUCACAGAACUGAUGGUUCCUGAGCUCAGACAAACACCAGCAGGCGCAGACAUGAAGCCCUACUAUGAGUGGACUUUUGGCCUUGCCUCACUGUUGCUGUUAUACCUCACCACUGUUGCAAACAACACUGUUUGAUUCUUUGUCUAGCUCUAUAGAUGUGUGUGUGUGUGUGUGUGUAUGUGUGUGUGUGUGUGUGUGUGUGUGUG